rnacentral:rRNA from 1 species
UUGAUAGGUCUGAGGUGGAAGUGUGGCGACACAUGGAGCUGACAGAUACUAAUCGAUCGAGGACUUAACCAAUUU